rnacentral:rRNA from 1 species
AGUGAACGCUGGCGGUAGGCCUAACACAUGCAAGUCGAACGGCAGCACAGUAAGAGCUUGCUCUUACGGGUGGCGAGUGGCGAACGGGUGAGGAAUACAUCGGAAUCUACUUUUUCGUGGGGGAUAACGUAGGGAAACUUACGCUAAUACCGCAUACGACCUACGGGUGAAAGCAGGGGAUCUUCGGACCUUGCGCGAUUGAAUGAGCCGAUGUCGGAUUAGCUAGUUGGCGGGGUAAAGGCCCACCAAGGCGACGAUCCGUAGCUGGUCUGAGAGGAUGAUCAGCCACACUGGAACUGAGACACGGUCCAGACUCCUACGGGAGGCAGCAGUGGGGAAUAUUGAACAAUGGGCGCAAGCCUGAUCCAGCCAUACCGCGUGGGUGAAGAAGGCCUUCGGGUUGUAAAGCCCUUUUGUUGGGAAGGAAAAGCAGCAGGUUAAUACCCCGCUGUUCUGACGGUACCCAAAGAAUAAGCACCGGCUAACUUCGUG